CUGUGCUAGGUGGGGAGCUAGCGGUGCCCUGUACCCGCAAUCCGCUACAGCGGGGCUGAAUUCCUUCAGGAGGGCUGGUUUUCCGGGGACUGUCCUCGUCAAGUGACGUUGACGGCCUGGUCCUGCGCGGCGGAGCGCCAUGAACCUGGUCAGGUCCGGAAGGAAGCAGCCAUAAGUGGUCAGCCCCGGGUGCCGCAGGUCUACCGGGCCCGAGUUGGCUGGCAGAGAGCAAGCUCGAAAUCCAGUUCGAAUGAAGGUGCACAG
rnacentral:SRP_RNA from 1 species